rnacentral:rRNA from 1 species
UACAGAGGGUGCAAGCGUUGUUUGGAAUUAUUGGGCGUAAAGGGCGCGUAGGCGGUGCUGUAAGUCUGUGGUGAAAUCUCUGGGCUCAACUCAGAGUCUGCCAUAGAAACUGCAGUGCUGGAGUGUGGGAGAGGUGAGUGGAAUUCCCGGUGUAGCGGUGAAAUGCGUAGAUAUCAGGAGGAACACCUGCGGUGUAGACAGCUUACUGGACCACUUCUGACGCUGAGACACGAAAGCGUGGGUAGCAAACAGG